AGUGAACGCUGGCGGUAGGCCUAACACAUGCAAGUCGAACGGCAGCACAGUAAGAGCUUGCUCUUACGGGUGGCGAGUGGCGGACGGGUGAGGAAUACAUCGGAAUCUACUUUUUCGUGGGGGAUAACGUAGGGAAACUUACGCUAAUACCGCAUACGACCUACGGGAGAAAGCAGGGGAUCUUCGGACCUUGCGCGAUUGAAUGAGCCGAUGUCGGAUUAGCUAGUUGGCGGGGUAAGGGCCCACCAAGGCGACGAUCCGUAGCUGGUCUGAGAGGAUGAUCAGCCACACUGGAACUGAGACACGGUCCAGACUCCUACGGGAGGCAGCAGUGGGGAAUAUUGGACAAUGGGCGCAAGCCUGAUGCAGCCAUACCGCGUGGGUGAAGAAGGCCUUCGGGUUGUAAAGCCCUUUUGUUGGGAAAGAAGAGCAGCAGGUUAAUACCCCGCUGUUCUGACGGUACCCAAAGAAUAAGCACCGGCUAACUUCGUG
rnacentral:rRNA from 1 species